rnacentral:rRNA from 1 species
CUCCUACGGGAGGCAGCAGUGGGAAUCUUGCACAAUGGGGGCAACCCGUGAUGCAGCGACGCCGCGUGAGCGAUGAAGCCCUUCGGGGGUCGUUAAAGGCUCUUUCGGCAGGGAAGAUUAUGACGGUACCUGCAGAAGCAGCUGCGGCUAACUACGUGCCAGCAGCCGCGGUAAUUC